rnacentral:rRNA from 1 species
CCUACGGGAGGCAGCAGUGAGGAAUAUUGGUCAAUGGACGAGAGUCUGAACCAGCCAAGUAGCGUGAAGGAUGACUGCCCUAUGGGUUGUAAACUUCUUUUAUAUGGGAAUAAAACGUUCCACGUGUGGGAUUUUGUAUGUACCAUAUGAAUAAGGAUCGGCUAACUCCGUGCCAGCAGCCGCUGUAAUACGGAGGAUCCGAGCGUUAUCCGGAUUUAUUGGGUUUAAAGGGAGCGUAGGUGGAUUGUUAAGUCAGUUGUGAAAGUUUGCGGCUCAACCGUAAAAUUGCAGUUGAAACUGGCAGUCUUGAGUACAGUAGAGGUGGGCGGAAUUCGUGGUGUAGCGGUGAAAUGCUUAGAUAUCACGAAGAACUCCGAUUGCGAAGGCAGUUCACUGGACUGCAACUGACACUGAGGCUCGAAAGUGUGGGUAUCAAACAGGAUUAGAUACCCGUGUAGUC